rnacentral:rRNA from 1 species
AUGCCCAAGUUUACCGGAAGCAAUGACCCCGAAGAGUACAUAUCAUGGGCAUUGAAGGUCGACAAAAUCUUCCGCUUGCACAACUACGAAGAAGAGAAGAAGAUCGCAAUGGCAUCCCUUGAAUUCCAAGACUACGUCCUCAUUUGGUGGGAACAAGUCAUUGAGCGCCGAGCGGCAAGAGGUGAACCACCCAUCACCACUUGGGCACAAAUGAAGGAUGUCAUGAGAGCACGAUUCGUGCCAAACUACUACAACCGAGACCUCUUCAAGAAACUCCAACAACUCAAGCAAGGAACCAAGAGCGUUGAAGAGUACUACAAGGAAAUGGAGAUUGCCAUGAUACGAGCCAAUGUCAAAGAAGAUGAUGAGCAAACUAUGGCACGUUUCUUGAAUGGACUCAAUCACCCUAUCAAGAAGAUUGCCGACUUCCAACCAUACUCGAACCUCAUCGAGCUAGUGCACCAAGCCACCAAAGCGGAAAGGCAAGUACAAGACGACUUCAAGUACGCCAAGUUCUCAUCCAAGUCAUAUGGUUUCUCCAACUCUCAAGCGUCAACGACUCCAACACCUUCUACCUCAACCAAGCCAUCUACAAGCCACGGCGACAAGUCAAGUUACAAGAAGACUUCGACAAGCUCAAGUCGUCCUCCUACUACAAGCAACUUCAAGCCGCGAGCUUCAUCAUCCUCUACCCCAACCGAUGAGACCAUCAAGACAAGUUCCAUCAAAUGCUUCACAUGCGGAGGCCGAGGCCACAAGUCCUUCGAGUCCACAAACAAGCGCACCAUGAUCCUCAAUGACGACGAAACCUAUGACUCAAUGAGUGAAGGAGAAAUGGAAGCCCUUGAGCAAGUGGCCAUGCACCGACAAGUGAACAACGACGAUGAAGAUGAUCACAUAUUUUGCGACAAAGAUUCAAGCUCCGCUCUUGUUGUCUCCAAGGUCUUGACUCUUCAACAUCAACAAGACGAAGAUCAAAGAUGCCAUAUCUUCCACACAAAGGCCGGCAUCAAUGGAAGUUCCGUCAAGGUCAUCAUCGAUGGAGGGAGUUGCCAUAACCUCGCAAGUGAAGACCUCUGCUCCAAACUCCAAUUGGCCAAGAUGAAGCACCCGCACCCAUACAAGGUUCAAUGGCUAAGCGACACCGGCACCAUACAAGUCGAGCAUAGGGUACAAGUCUCUUUCAAGAUCGGAGCUUACGAAGACACUUUGGAGUGUGAUGUCCUUCCGAUGACCGUGUGCCACCUCCUUCUUGGACGGCCAUGGCAAUUUGACCGAGGUGUCAUCCACAAUGGUCGUACAAACCACUAUAGCUUCAAGAUGAAAGGGAAGGAGUUUGUGCUACGACCUAUGUCUCCAAGCCAAGUGCUCGCCGACAAGCAAGCCACCCAUCGUGGAGAGAAUAGUGAGAGAACGAACCACCAAAAAGAGAGUGAGCGCCACAAGCCCAAAUUGAGUGCCUCCACGAUGAGCGACAAGAAGAACUUAGUCCUAUUUGCCACCAAACAUGAGAUGAGGGAAGUGUGUGAGAACCCAUCAAGUGUUCUACACUAUGUCCUAUUGUGCAAGGACGAGGCUCCAAAAACUAACACCUCUCACAAUCUACCCUUGGUGUUAUCUUCUUUAUUGCAGGAAUUCUAA